GAUAUUUUUUCUCAUGGAGGCAUCACGCGGUGAAAGCGGACGUAAACACCUUGCGUGAAGCAGUCGGCGGAGCGGACGACUUGGAUUACGCCGCCGCGUGCGCGUCCGCGGCGACUGCAAAUAAAUACAUUAGAGAGCGGGCCGUGUUUUUGGGUGCUGCUUUGCUUCCGGAAGGAGGCCGAGCUGAACGAGAAACCGGGCACUUUUCUCUCUCUCUCUCUCUCUCCCACACACUUUUUUUUUUUUUGGAAGCCGAACUUUUCGAGGGUGGAAAAUGCGUCUUUGAGAGGUGCUUGGCACAUUUCCCUCCACACCACAAUGGCAACCGAAACCUUUCUGUUGAACGAGGAACCCACCAGAGGCCCGGGGAUGCCUGAAUGCUUUGUAGUAUCAGAUUCAUACAGGUAUUACCCUACUCACCUUCUAAACAAUGCCUUAGUGGUAAGUCCUAUUUAGUCCCUACUUAUUCCGCAUUAGGUGUCUGUGUUUUUACAUAUUCCAUCCUGAGGACAUUUUAGGGUGGGGGUUCUACAGUGCAGGGACGAAAAUGUUUCUUUUGCACACACACUGCAUGCCUUGUGUUUUUCUGUUGUUGUUGUUGCGUAGCCCGUGGUUGGGGAUUUGGUUCUUAUAAUGUUGGAAAUAGAGCAGAAAACUGGCUGCAGCUCUGACCGCGUUGUGUUUUAAUGUGUGCAGGGAGAGGGUUCGGACAAAUGUUUGGUUACAAAUAUGACUAUUUAAUUGUGGUAUUUGAAUCUCCCAGUGUUUAUUUUGAACCUCAUUUUUAAAUUCUUUUGUAUUUGCACAAACUCUUGCGCUUUAGUUUUACAAUUGGCUGUAUGACGAGUGUGUUUGUGUGUGUCGCCCUCCCGUACCUCCUUUACCUCUCCCAUCUGUCGGUUCCCAACGCCAGCAAAAAAAGGACGGAUCUUUUUGUAAUAAAAGACAUUCAAACCGCCUCCUAAAGCUGUUGGUGUCUUAUAGCUAAGUCGCCCCUCAAGCUCCGACCUGGGGUCAAUCCCACAAUCCUUUCAGAUUGUCUUUAUCGCGCUGGUUUUGUUUAAUUUCCUGCCAUUCUAUGUGAAAUAUCAAAGUUCAAUGGUGAUACCCGUUAUGUGGAGAGGUCAGAACGAGAUUUUCUACCUUAAAACCCUGUGGAGCUAACGCUAUUUUAGUGCGUUAGCAUGUCGUUAACUAGCGUUAGCACUAUUUGACUGCGUUAGCAUGUCGUUAACUAGCGUUAGCACUAUUUGAGUGCGUUAGCAUGUCGUUAACUAGCGUUAGCACUAUUUGAUUGCGUUAGCAUGUCGUUAACUAGCGUUAGCACUAUUUGAUUGCGUUAGCAUGUCGUUAACUAGCGUUAGCACUUAUGCCACGCUAGCUACUGAAGGUAUACGGAAUGCUUACACACGGUGCUGUUGUUUUUGAAUGAUUGUUACAGUUGAAUAAAGACCUACCAGCUUUACAGGAACAGUGUUGUUCCUUAACUUCGUCGUCUUCAGCUUCGAUGGUCUGGUACACGUUUUAUCAGCAGGUCUUACGCUGCGUCAAACUUGGCACCAUGUAGGUUGGAAUUAAAUUAAAAUAGCCAGCUUUUUUGGGGGAAGUUUUUUGAGAAAACAUUAAUUUAAUUGACUUAAUUAUAAAUAUAUGGGAUACCAGUGUAACUCACCGGUGCCCCACAACAAAAAUAAGUUUAUAAAAGCGAGCCAGUAGAGCACUCUGCUCUCGCACACCAGACUGAAGAAUGAACUCAUAGUGCGCUUGAUUGACAAGCGGGGCGGAUCUAUUGUCCUCGCUUGUAACCGAGUUGUGUGCUCAUGUCUGGAGGGCACGGCGGUGAAACCGGAGUCAUUCGAUUGGCCGCGCUGCUGUUUUGUGCCGGUGCUUCUCCCCUCAUCGCGGGACGCCGUGAGGUCACGGCGCCAUACGCUUGCCUGGGACAUCACGUUCCUUUUACUUAUUCAUUCAUAGCACGCAGCAAGUUACAGGCCAACUUACUGCAGAAAAAAACUGCCAUCAUUAAGAACUGUGGCUCGGCUUCUUUAAUGUGGCCAUUUUCUGUUGGAUGGUUGUGUUCUGAGACAAGGUAUCCAAGCUAACUCACCUCACAAUGUCAAAUGUCACUUUUUGUUAUUUUUUGCGGCAAAAUCUGUAGCAUGUUGUGGAUUAUUUGCUUUUGGAGCAUAUAUAGGGCUUAUGGAGCCUUCUGGGAUUGAUGCGUUUCUCCGGAUUUUUUCCGGUCAGCUUGGGGCCACCAUGCGUCAGCACGCUUGAAUUUACAGCAAUUCUUGCGAAAAAAGAAAUGGGGAGCUCUCGUCGGUGGCGAGGACAAAGACGGGAUGAGCCGGUGUGCAUUUUGGCAGCAGGCGGGGUAGAUUUGAAUUAAGUGGCAUGUAGUUUUUUAUCUCGAGCCACAUGCAGAGAGCGAGGCAGAACCAACUGCGUCUCAUUCAAUAUCAGCGCAGCUGUCCCAGCAUCCGUGGAGAAUGGAUUCCUACUGCUAUCGCCAUGGGAGGCUCCAGCCAAGAAGAAUAGCAGGAUAUCCAGUGCGCUUGUGCUGUAAGAGAGGAGAGAGUGAAGCGCUGGCAUGUCUGUCCGUACACGUCUGUCCCUGUGUGUGUGUGAUUUUGCAUGUGUGUGUCAUGCUGUCUCCACCCAUCUCACUUUCCCUUUGCCCAUGUCACCUCUGGCACGGAUUAGUCUUUGGCACAACUCUGGCAGUGCCAGCGGCCGCAGUGUGGUCCUGUGGUUGCCGAUAUGUUGUGCUGUUGCCAUGGCUACUGAACACACACACACACACACGGGUGCUAAAUUACAUAAUUGAGCGAGAAUAUACAGAGGAACACAAAAUAUGAGAGCAGAGAAAGAAAUAAAGGUGCUCACUAGAGCAUGAAGUGUUCUUUAGCUUGUCCCCAAAGGAGAACCCUUCUUGGUUCCUGAUAAAUGUAACGACAGGAAUGCUUUUCCAGGGUUCUUCCUAGAGCCAAACAUAGAUGGUCCUUUUUAGAACCAUCCGUAAAAGGUUCCAACAAGAGCGCCCAAUGAGCGGUUCCUGAAGUGGGUUGGCAGUCAGUUGUAUACACCUAGAACCCACCGACAGAGGUUCUACUCAUAAUACUUUUGUAUUCCAAAGGUCCAUCCAGCACCCACCCAAAGAGUUUAAACAAAAACCCUUACGUAAUCAAAGGGUUACGUCUACAACUCACUCACAAGGUUCUACAUAGAACUUGAUUUGUGUUCCAACCCACUCUGAGGGUUCUACAGAAGACUUAUAUUCCAUCUAGAUUCCAAACAGGGUCAAAUAGAACGCGCAAUAGUCAUGGUUUCCAGUGAUAGUCUUUAAGGUGGAGUGGGCACUUCAAGGGGGUCCUUGUCUUACAAGAAACCCUUAAGAAGCCCUUUCUUUAGAAGCCAAUGGUUCUGGGUACAAUGUCUUAAAAACCUUAAUUCUAAUGCCGCAUAUUGAGUUUUGUGUGUUUAAGUUUGGAAACCCCCGAGCCGAGUAAAAAGAAACACUCAUUAAAUAUUUCAGAACCUUGUCAUGGCCGAGCUCCAGACAGCAGUAUAGCAUGUUCUCCCGCUAACAACAUCUGCGCCGACGAUAUCCGGGCAUGUGAGACCUUGUGACAACCGAUUUGAGGGUGCAAUUGAGGGUUAGGUGUUUGUGGUGGCAAUUAGCGGUCCCUGUGUGUGUGUGCAAGAAUGACAGCCAGUGUUAGCAUAAGAGAGGGUGUGGCACCAAUGGUUUACAGGGACGCACCAUGACACCAGACACACAGGACACACACACUUGUUUCUUUACCCCCCCCCUCCCUCCUCCUCCCGGGCUUCAGCUUGUUUUGAAUAGAUUUUUUUAUCCGGGAGAGGAUCAGCGAUAUGUCUCACUUAAGCCGCUGUAUUUCGGUCACGGUGGAGUGGAUUUCAAGGGCAAAACCUUUGAACUGCAAAGCGGCGCGUCAUUUAGGAUUCAUGAGUCCGAUUGUUAAGACGUCUACAAAGAAAUACUCUGCACAUGAGUCAUUGUGCACAGGGAAAGUUUGACAUAUUAAAGAGUAGGCGGUAAGCAAAACACGAAAAGAAAUAAUGGAUGUGUGUUAAACUAUUAUCAAUUAUUAAUUUUCAUUUAAGUUGCUAGGCUGCUCUAAUCAAUUAAGUUAAUAUUUCAGGUUUGGAAAAUAAAUAAUUGGCGUAUAUUCUUCAGUGCUUUUUAUUAGUCUUGUCCCGAGAAAAGUCUCAGAUGACUCUGUCCACACUCACCCACUGACUGCUAACACACACACAGGUGACGUUUCCAGGAAAGAUAUGACACUUUAAAGAUCUCCUAGCCAUCGUAUCUGUAGUGUCACAGGUCCACAUAAAUAGAUAGGAGCGCUGUUGUAGUUGCCGAUCGCUGACGGACCCCUCAAGGUCACUUCGGCGUGGGCAAUCCGGGCAUGUUGUUUGGCCCCGUCCCGCCGGCCUGUCUGACCUACAUCUCACUGCGCCGGCUAAAUAUAUACAGUAGACCCCUCCAUUACAAAGCUCUGAUUAAUCUGACAGAAACCUGAGCACUGUCUCUCUCUCUGUCUGACCGCAGACCCUCCAACUCACUCAUUCCACAAAGGAAAAAGGAAAAAUAGAAAACAAUCGAGGCACACGCAUGCACAUUAUCAUCGGGUGGAAAAGGGCCGGAGCUGGAGACACAAUCAGUCUACCCAUUCAGAAAAGUCCUCUGUACAUUUGGCGCACACAGAGUGUGUCUGUAUACCUCGUGCAUUACGCACAUACUUAAUCACACCAGGCACAGGUGUGCAUUCUUUCUGAUAAAAAACUUCACACCAAGCACAAUACGUGUUAGAGCCUGUGUGUGUGAUACAGGACAGUGGUUUCCAUAUUUUAUUUUUGUCUGCUUUAAUAUUGCCCCCUAUGGCCAUGUCGGAUUUCUUACAGGUCCGUUUGAUCAAGUUUCAGGGGUCGGAGCUACUUGUCUUACGUGUGUUGAGAUUAAAUCAUGGUUAUAACUUUAUA